rnacentral:rRNA from 1 species
UACAGAGGUCCCAAGCGUUGUUCGGAUUCACUGGGCGUAAAGGGUGCGUAGGCGGUUUUGUAAGUCUUAUGUGAAAUCUAUGGGCUCAACUCAUAGACUGCAUGAGAAACUGCAGGGCUUGAGUAUGGGAGAGGUGAGUGGAAUUCCUGGUGUAGCGGUGAAAUGCGUAGAUAUCAGGAGGAACACCUGUGGCGAAAGCGGCUCACUGGACCAUAACUGACGCUGGAUGCACGAAAGCUAGGGGAGCAAACAGG